AGGUGCCUAGGGAAGGAAGGGCUCUAACGUCACAGCUGCAAGGUUCACAGCCCAGAGCUCAGCUCUGGCAGAGCGGCCCUCAGACAAGAGGCACUCAGGCCUGGAGGCUGAGGGUCGGGGCCUGAGGCCCAGGACAGGUGGGGAGCUACCCAGCCUGGCUGCCUCCCCGAAGGCUUCCUCCCCAAUGUUCAUGUGGCAUAUGUUGUGUGCAUGUGUCUUCAAAGGCCAGAAGAGGGUAUUGGAUUCCUCCGGUAUUGGCUGCCCUCACGUGAUAGCAUGAUAGUGACCUGUGAUGUGGGGGCAUGGGAGGCAGGGAUUGGACGACCACUGCCAGAACCCAGAACAUCUGGUGGCCUUCAGACGCAUCCUCCUCAGCUCCCUUUCCUGCUCAUGGACAGACACCAAACAACUAAACGGUUGUACAGUUUGACCGGUCCUGAAGUAGUGGGUUUUAAGAGCACAAGUAAGCAGGUCCAGGAAGGAGCCCAUCAAGGUCCCCAGUAUCCUGACCAGAGAAGACAGGAAGGAGGAGAUUCUGACCGAUGGAGACCCCCAUCCAGCACAGGACCUUCCUGCCUGCUAUCCCCUGAGCUCCCUACAAAACUCUUCAUGUGCCUCAGUUUCCCAGGAUGGCUUAAGAAGGAAGAGAACAUUUCCACUCCACCAUCUCGUCUCCCAUGACCCUCAAAGACCUCAGCUUUUCUAGCCUGCUACUCCUGUUUCUGGCUUCUGAGCAGAAAGUCAGCCUUGAAACGGAGCAAGACCUGAGAUGGAGCAAGAUGCCAUAACCAAGCAGAAUUGUGAAAGCGAACGCCGUCUUGUUGGAUUGAGGACCAGAAAACAGCAUCCAAGGAAAAGGAGCUUCUCCAGGCUAAUGGCUGAGCGGGUAAGGGUGCCCGCCACCAAUCCUGACAACCUGAGUUUGGUCUCUGGAACCCACGUAGUGGAAAGAGAAAACCAAUCCCUGAAAGUUAUCCUCUGAGCUGUGCAUGGGUGCUGUGGAGUGCCUGUUCCCACGUAAAACAAAUAACUGUGAACCGGCCUUGGUGAAUCAGAACUUUUAGUCCCAGUACUCAGGAAGAAGAUGCAGGUGGAUGGAUCCCUGUAGGUUUGAAGCUAGCCUGCCUGGUCUACAGAGUGAGACCCUGUCUCCAAAAUCAAAACAAAACAAAAAGCAAUGCUUUCCCCCUUCAGGCUGAUCUUCUCUCCAAAGCAUGAAGAUGAUGCGUGGGAACCUGUUCAGAGAUGCUUGAUGAAGCACCUACUGUGUGCCCUGCUCUCUGCCAGGCGUGGGAAGGAGCUGCAAACCCAAGUUCUUGUUUAAAAGGCUGACAAGCAAGUAGAGAAGUCACAGUCAGCUGUGACAGUCAAGCACACCAGCUGAGACAGCGGCCCUGGAGCCAGCCUGUCUGCGUCUGUGUCUCAACUCUGACCCUCACUGUUCCUUAACUGAAUGGUUAAUAUCGUCAAUUUGACAGGAUCUAAAAUCACCCUAAACAAACCUCUGGACAUGCCUGUGAGGGAGCUUCUAGAUUCAGUUAGGGAGGUAGGAAGAUCCACCCUGAAUAGAAGCAGGAGUCUCAGACAAAAUAAAAGGGUGGGGUGGGUGGAGUGGGGCGGAGAGGUAAGAGCACUGGCUGCUCUUGCAGAGGACCCAGUGCCCACAUGACAGCUCACAACUGUCUGAGACUCCAGCUUCUGGGGACCCCAUGCUUCUGCCUCUGAGAAAGAGCACUGUAUUCAUGCACACACACAGUCACACAGGGACAUACACAAGCAUCCAUGUAGUUAAAAUAAAAGGAAAGGCAGAGAUGGGUGGGUAUCUAUGAGUUCCAGGUCAGCCAAGACUAUGUAAUGAGAUCCUAUCUCAAAAACAAGCAAACAGGGCUGAAGAGAUGGCUCAGCGGUUAAGAGCACUGACUGCUCUUCCGAAGAUCCUGAGUUCAAAUCCCAGCAACCACAUGGUGGCUCACAACGAUCUCGUAAUGAGAUCAGAUGCCCUCUUCUGGUGUGUCUGAAGACAGCUACAGUGUAUUUACAUAUAAUAAUAAAUAAAUCUUUUUUUAAAAAAAGACAGGACUUCACUAUGUAGCCUUGGCUGCCCUGGAACUUGCUUUGUAGACAGGCUGGUCUCGAACUCACGGAGACCCACCUGCCUCUGCCUGGGAUUAACUGCACUGCACACAGCUGUGUGCCUAUUUAAAUUUAAACUUAAAAGCACUAGAGUCCUAAAGGCAGCUUAUCUGUUCCCUUCCCAUGUGGAUGCAGUGAGUAAGUCUCCUCUCUGCCUUUCCCCAUUAUUUGUGAUUAUAAUAGGUGGCCAAGUCUAGCUUUUCCUUUUUAAAAUCUCUGGUUACAGGUUAUAAUGCCAUAAGCAAGGGGGCUACAAACAAGAUAAAACAAAGCAAAAAAACAAAAAACUCCAGCCUCGCUGGUUCCUGCAUCUCUGAGCUCACUCUUGGGGCUGGGGACUGAGGAGAACCAACUCUCUGCUCCUGCGUGCGACCAGGAACUGCUGGAGCCUUCGGAUACCGGGAACAAGACUGGGCAGGGUCCGAGCAGCUAUUGGGAGGGCACUGAAAGAGUAAUGCCUGGUAACUUUUCCUGUUCUGUGAUAAAAUACUCCGACAUAAGCCCCUUAAGGAGAGUCCAUCA